GGACCCCUCCCUGCCCAUCAACAUUCUCUCCAGAAACAUAGUUUCCCACAAGACUAAGGGAACAGACAGAGGAAUCUGCGGCAGGUAGAAUGAACUAAAACUGCACCUGGCAGCCUUGGGAGUUGGUAACUCUCUGACUGCAUGUGUGUAGUUGGAGCCUUUUGGCCUUUCGUCACCCUCAAGCUUGUAAAACCCUGAGGAAGCUGUGACUUUGUUAUUUCACCACCUCGCUUCAUUUCCUCUUCUGAGGACAUUGGUCUGUUUGAGUGACCUCAGAACUGCCUAGAAGCCGAGAGCUGUGUCACAUCUGGCUUCAGACAUUGAACUGUGCUUCAAGUUCCAGCCUCAAAGUGGUGACACUUCUCUAGCCCCUUGGCCCAUGAGGAGACCUGAACCACCUACCUACAUCUCCAUGUCUGGGCCAGCAGUGUUGCCUGGCUUCUUGGCAAAUCCCUGGUUUGCUUGGUAGGUAACCUGUGCACAGCAGAGUGAAACAUCUCAGGAUGUCCUCAGAUGAAGGAAGACGACGCAGCUCAGACCCUGGAAGGGAGCUGGAAGUCCAACUGAACCCUCCCACAGAGGUCCUCGCUUGAGUAGAGCUAACCCAGGGCAGUGUGGGCAGUGGGAGAAGUCCUGAGCUAAUGUGUGCUGUGGAUGUGUUAGGGACUGCGGUGCCUCAGACCGUGGGAAUGGCAAAGCCUUCCCUGAGUGAGGCUCAGAGGGAAGGAAGCCUCCUCUGUCCUGACCUGGAAUGUGACAGUGUGUGUACAGACUGCCAACCACAGCUUCCUCCUCCCUGGUGACCGCAGCCUGAGACUGUGUCCUACAGAGACCCUGUGCUCAGAUCAGCUAAAUCUGCCUCCUUGUUCAGCCAAAUGCCAUAAACUCUCCUCCCUGAUUCCGAUAUAAAAUGAGUGUGCUGAAUUUCCAGGUUGUUAUUGCAGCUGGGCAUCCAUCAGAGCCUGCACGGCUCACUGAUCCCAGCUUUUUU
ensembl:lincRNA uncharacterized LOC115064235